CCCAGACUCCUACGGGAGGCAGCAGUGAGGAAUAUUGGUCAAUGGGCGGGAGCCUGAACCAGCCAAGUCGCGUGAGGGAAGACGGUCCUAUGGAUUGUAAACCUCUUUAGGCGGGGAGCAAUGCCGGGCACGCGUGCCCGGAGGGAGAGUACCCGCAGAAUAAGCAUCGGCUAACUCCGUGCCAGCAGCCGCGGUAAUACGGAGGAUGCGAGCGUUAUCCGGAUUUAUUGGGUUUAAAGGGUGCGCAGGCGGCGUGUCAAGUCAGCGGUAAAAUGUCGGGGCUCAACCCCGGCCGGCCGUUGAAACUGAUGUUCUUGAGUGGGCGAGAAGUAUGCGGAAUGCGUGGUGUAGCGGUGAAAUGCAUAGAUAUCACGCAGAACUCCGAUUGCGAAGGCAGCAUACCGGCGCCCAACUGACGCUGAAGCACGAAAGCGUGGGUAUCGAACAGGAUUAGAUACCCGAGUAGC
rnacentral:rRNA from 1 species